GCUCCACAACUCACACAUCUUGGGACAGGAUCAUUUCGACCAUCAGAGGAUGUGGCUCACGGUGAACAAGAACCAGAUUAUGUAUCUGCAUUUGCUGCUUGCGAAUCAUUAGUUUGCCUAUCUGGCUUUAGGGAAAUCGUUCCAGACUACUUGCCAGCAAUUUACCCAGUUUGUGCCAAUCUCACUUCUCUGAACUUAAGCUAUGCAAAUAU
rnacentral:misc_RNA from 1 species